rnacentral:tRNA from 2 species
GCGGGCAUGGCGGAAUCGGUAGACGCAACGGAUUUAAAAUCCGUCGACCUUAGGUCGUGCCGGUUCAAGUCCGGCUGCCCGCACCA